CUUCACCGAGCCGAGCCACAACGGCUCCCGCCCCUGCCGGUCCUGCCCGUACGUGGCCAGGACGGCCUGCGCCUC
rfam:Micromonospora aurantiaca ATCC 27029, complete genome.